rnacentral:miRNA from 1 species
AGCAAAAAAAGUUUGAGAGCAAUAGUUGUUUUUGACGUUUCUGAUUUUGAAUUAGUGACCGCCCCUAAAUAUCAAAAACAACUAUUGCUCUCAAACUUUUUGUC